CAGUCGAACGGGGGCGUGAUGUGCGAGAGGGAUAGUUUACUAGACUUCAAACUUUUCACGCCCUAGUGGCGGACGGGUGAGUAACGCGUGGGUAACCUGCCAUAUACAGGGGGAUAACACUUAGAAAUAGGUGCUAAUACCGCAUAAGCGCACAGGGGCGCAUGCCCCGGUGUGAAAAACUCCGGUGGUAUAUGAUGGACCCGCGUCUGAUUAGCCAGUUGGCAGGGUAACGGCCUACCAAAGCGACGAUCAGUAGCCGGCCUGAGAGGGCGGACGGCCACAUUGGGACUGAGACACGGCCCAAACUCCUACGGGAGGCAGCAGUGGGGGAUAUUGCACAAUGGGGGAAACCCUGAUGCAGCGACGCCGCGUGAGUGAAGAAGUAUUUCGGUAUGUAAAGCUCUAUCAGCAGGGAAGAAAAUGACAGUACCUGACCAAGAAGCCCCGGCUAGCUACGUGCCAGCAGCCGCGGUAAUACGUAGGGGGCAAGCGUUAUCCGGAUUUACUGGGUGUAAAGGGAGCGUAGACGGUUAUGUAAGUCUGGAGUGAAAGCCCGGGGCCCAACCCCGGGACUGCUUUGGAAACUGUGUAACUGGAGUACAGGAGGGGCAGGAGGAAUUCCUGGUGUAGCGGUGAAAUGCGUAGAUAUCAGGAGGAACACCGGCGGCGAAGGCGGCCUGCUGGACUGAAACUGACGUUGAGGCACGAAAGUGUGGGGAGCAAACAGGAUUAGAUACCCUGGUAGUCCACACUGUAAACGAUGGAUACUAGGUGUAGGGAAUAUUAAGUUUUCUGUGCCGUCGCAAACGCAAUAAGUAUCCCACCUGGGGAGUACGACCGCAAGGUUGAAACUCAA
rnacentral:rRNA from 1 species